GGACUAUACUUUGCUGACUGCGGAUUGUAACUAGGGGACGUAGGGCUAUAUGAUGGUGAGGUAGGGCUAUACGAUGGCGAGGUUGGGCUGUAUCCAGGUGAUGUGGGGCUGUAAGCAGGUGAUGUAGGACUAUAUGAUGGAGACGUCGGACUGUAAGAGGGUGAUGUAGGGCUGUAGGAAGGUGAAGUUGGACUAUAAGAAGGUGAAGUCGGACUAUAGGAAGGAGAUGUGGGGCUAUAUGCUGGUGAAGUAGGGCUGUAAGCAGGUGAAGUGGGGCUGUAAGCUGGUGAAGUUGGGCUAUAGCUGGGAGAGGUAGGGCUGUAGCUGGGUGAUGUGGGACUGUAGCUGGGUGAUGUGGGGCUGUAGCUCGGUGAUGUGGGAGAGUAGGAUGGACUGGUGGGCGAAUAAGCUGGACUUGUAGGACUAUAUCCCGGAGAGCUAGGACUAUAAGUCGGAGAGGUGGGGCUGUACCCGGGUGAAGUGGGGCUGUACCCAGGUGAAGUGGGGCUGUACCCGGGUGAUGAGGGACUAUAGCCUGGGGAUGAUGGGCUGUAACCAGGAGAUGAAGUAGGAGAAAAUGCCAUCCCACCAACAUAAGGUGAAAACUGUGCAUCAGUAGUUGGAGACAGCCGUAAAUUGGGGCUCAACAAAUAACUGG
rnacentral:lncRNA from 1 species